UCCCCCACUCGGAUACUGAACUAACAAA
rnacentral:piRNA from 1 species